rfam:Chloroflexi bacterium RBG_13_46_14 RBG_13_scaffold_3640, whole genome shotgun sequence.
AACAAUCGAAUAAGAUAUCCCGAGACAGCGGGUGUCGUAAAAGACUUAAUAGUAGUACCUGCCGAGGAUAACUCAGAGCUAGAAACUACGCAGUUCACUUAUCAAUUUUUGCGUAGCACAGUAAUGGUCCUUGUGCGGUCGACACAAGGACUUUUUUAUUGAGCUA